rnacentral:rRNA from 1 species
UACAGAGGUCGCAAGCGUUGUUCGGAUUCACUGGGCGUAAAGGGUGCGUAGGCGGUCGGGUAAGUCUGAUGUGAAAUCUCACAGCUUAACUGUGAAACUGCAUUGGAUACUAUCCGGCUCGAGGAAUGGAGGGGAGACUGGAAUACUUGGUGUAGCAGUGAAAUGCGUAGAUAUCAAGUGGAACACCAGUGGCGAAGGCGAGUCUCUGGACAUUUCCUGACGCUGAGGCACGAAAGCCAGGGGAGCAAACGGG